AGAGUUUGAUCAUGGCUCAGAUUGAACGCUGGCGGCAGGCCUAACACAUGCAAGUCGAGCGGCAGCACAGAGGAACUUGUUCCUUGGGUGGCGAGCGGCGGACGGGUGAGUAAUGCCUGGGAAAUUGCCCGGUAGAGGGGGAUAACCAUUGGAAACGAUGGCUAAUACCGCAUAACCUCGCAAGAGCAAAGCAGGGGACCUUCGGGCCUUGCGCUACCGGAUAUGCCCAGGUGGGAUUAGCUAGUUGGUGAGGUAAGGGCUCACCAAGGCGACGAUCCCUAGCUGGUCUGAGAGGAUGAUCAGCCACACUGGAACUGAGACACGGUCCAGACUCCUACGGGAGGCAGCAGUGGGGAAUAUUGCACAAUGGGCGCAAGCCUGAUGCAGCCAUGCCGCGUGUAUGAAGAAGGCCUUCGGGUUGUAAAGUACUUUCAGUAGGGAGGAAGGUGGUUAAGCUAAUACCUUAAUCAU
rnacentral:rRNA from 1 species